rnacentral:rRNA from 1 species
CGGGAACUGUGAGACAGGUGCUGCAUGGCUGUCGUCAGCUCGUGUUGUGAAAUGUUGGGUUAAGUCCCGCAACGAGCGCAACCCUUAUCCUUUGUUGCCAGCGAUUAGGUCGGGAACUCAAAGGAGACUGCCAGUGAUAAACUGGAGGAAGGUGGGGAUGACGUCAAGUCAUCAUGGCCCUUACGACCAGGGCUACACACGUGCUACAAUGGCGCAUACAAAGAGAAGCGACCUCGCGAGAGCAAGCGGACCUCAUAAAGUGCGUCGUAGUCCGGAUUGGAGUCUGCAACUCGACUCCAUGAAGUCGGAAUCGCUAGUAAUCGUGGAUCAGAAUGCCACGGUGAAUACGUUCCCGGGCCUUGUACACACCGCCCGUCACACCAUGGGAGUGGGUUGCAAAAGAAGUAGGUAGCUUAACCUUCGGGAGGGCGCUUACCACUUUGUGAUUCAUGACUGGGGUGAAGUCGUAACAAGGUAACCGUAGGGGAACCUGCGGUUGGA